CGCGAGCUUCGUUGUACCCCUCGCCCAGAGCCUCCGACCCGCGCUUUGCUCUCCGCCCCGCCUGAGGAUCGCGGUCACAAAUCGCAGGCAGCGGGUGUCGUAGGGGAAUCUGCAAAUGCUUAAGCCUCCCUCUGCUUCGGCACUGGAAGGAAACGCUGCAUUUCCCAGUCGCGCGGGUUAAACUGCAGGCGCUGGCAAACAAUUGCUAGGAGGCCCUUCCAGCGUGCAUUGCAUGGAUAACUCUGUCUCUUCACAGGGCUGGGAAAGAAAUCCAAAGUCGUGACUCAGGAGGCGCCUCGGGAAGGAAGAAACCGUGGACGUCCUCGGCGUGGCCGUGCCUGUUCCUCUGUCUCCUAUUCGGCUCGAGAGCUGCUCGUUGUGGUCAGCUUUCCGCUCUCCUGCCGGCCCUGGAUCUCGUUCCAAAUUCAAUCUGCUCGAAGGCAAGGCGUUGGCGAGAGGGGAGCGCGGCUGAACUCCAGAACAUCCACGCCGUGACAGAUGUCAUCCGGAGGGGGAGUGGCGUCUGCAACGAGAACACAGUAUUAUUACUCCCCGCGUCAGUCUUCCAUUAGAUUAUUUAUUGCUUCGAUCCCACCAGAAG
rnacentral:lncRNA from 1 species